UACGGAGGGUGCGAGCGUUGUCCGGAAUCAUUGGGCGUAAAGGGCGCGUAGGUGGCCUGGUAAGUAGGGGGUGAAAUCUCGCGGCUCAACUGCGAGGCUGCCUCCUAAACUGUCAGGCUCGAGCAGAGUAGAGGCAGGUGGAAUUCCCGGUGUAGCGGUGGAAUGCGUAGAGAUCGGGAAGAACAUCGGUGGCGAAGGCGGCCUGCUGGGCUCUUGCUGACACUGAGGCGCGACAGCGUGGGGAGCAAACAGG
rnacentral:rRNA from 1 species